rnacentral:rRNA from 1 species
GAUGGAUAGGGGUUCUGAGAGGAAGGUCCCCCACAUUGGUACUGAGACACGGACCAAACUCCUACGGGAGGCAGCAGUGAGGAAUAUUGGUCAAUGGCCGAGAGGCUGAACCAGCCAAGUCGCGUGAAGGAAGAAGGAUCUAUGGUUUGUAAACUUCUUUUAUAGGGGAAUAAAGUGGAGGACGUGUCCUUUUUUGUAUGUACCCUAUGAAUAAGCAUCGGCUAACUCCGUGCCAGCAGCCGCGGUAAUACGGAGGAUGCGAGCGUUAUCCGGAUUUAUUGGGUUUAAAGGGUGCGUAGGUGGUGAUUUAAGUCAGCGGUGAAAGUUUGUGGCUCAACCAUAAAAUUGCCGUUGAAACUGGGUUACUUGAGUGUGUUUGAGGUAGGCGGAAUGCGUGGUGUAGCGGUGAAAUGCAUAGAUAUCACGCAGAACUCCGAUUGCGAAGGCAGCUUACUAAACCAUAACUGACACUGAA